rnacentral:rRNA from 1 species
CACGGCGGCAGGUUUAACACAUGCAAGUCGAGCGGUAGAGAGAAGCUUGCUUCUCUUGAGAGCGGCGGACGGCUGAGUAAUGCCUAGGAAUCUGCCUGGUAGUGGGGGAUAACGUUCGGAAACGGACGCUAAUACCGCAUACGUCCUACGGGAGAAAGCAGGGGACCUUCGGGCCUUGCGCUAUCAGAUGAGCCUAGGUCGGAUUAKCUAGUUGGUGGGGUAAUGGCUCACCAAGGCGACGAUCCGUAACUGGUCUGAGAGGAUGAUC